GAUCAUAUGUUGAUACCCGGAGAGGCCAGAUGAUAUGUUGAUACUCAGAAAGGCUGGAGGAUAUUAUUAAUGUUAUUUUGAAACCCGAAAAGGCUGGAGGUUGAUUAUGAUAAUGAUAGUCCUGAUAAGAACAGUUAUGAUGAUUUGUGAUAUUGAUGGUGUACUUAGAAUCACUCUUUCAUUUGCAUCGCCCAUCACCAGUAUGCACCUAUAUUUAUCAGCCAGUAUGGGAUGGUUGCAUAUAUAUGGGUGAAAAAUAUGUCGUAUGUUUUGUAUGUUGAAUGAACCUUCCAAGCCUGGGGCAGUGGGGGUACGCAUAGGCUUUCCUAGGUAUUUGGUUGUCCGGACUAGCCCAUUAUUGAUGUUGUUAUUGAUAUUGUUGUUAAUAUUAUUAUGAUCAUUAUUAUGGCUUGUAUAGGAUAGAUUGGUCAUUGAUCUGGUAUUGGG
rnacentral:lncRNA from 1 species